rnacentral:rRNA from 1 species
GCUUGUCUCAAAGAUUAAGCCAUGCAUGUCUAAGUAUAACUCUUUUACUUUGAAAACUGCGAACGGCUCAUUAUAUCAGUUAUAGUUUCUUUGAUAGUCCCUUACUACUUGGAUACCCGUAGUAAUUCUAGAGCUAAUACAUGACUCAAAGACCGACUUACGAAGGUCUGUGUUUAUUAGAUGGAAACCAAAGCGGGGAAACCCGGAUUUAUGGUGAUUCAUAAUAACCCUCCGAUCGGCUAUGCCGACGCAUCAUUCAAGUUUCUGCCCUAUCAGCUUUGGACGGUAGGGUAUUGGCCUACCGUGGCUUUAACGGGUAACGGAGAAUUAGGGUUCGAUUCCGGAGAGGGAGCCUGAGAAAUGGCUACCACAUCCAAGGAAGGCAGCAGG